rnacentral:rRNA from 1 species
AGCGAACGCUGGCGGCAGGCCUAACACAUGCAAGUCGAACGAACCCUUCGGGGUUAGUGGCGGACGGGUGAGUAACACGUGGGAACGUGCCUUUAGGUUCGGAAUAACUCAGGGAAACUUGUGCUAAUACCGAAUGUGCCCUUCGGGGGAAAGAUUUAUCGCCUUUAGAGCGGCCCGCGUCUGAUUAGCUAGUUGGUGAGGUAAUGGCUCACCAAGGCUACGAUCAGUAGCUGGUCUGAGAGGAUGACCAGCCACAUUGGGACUGAGACACGGCCCAAACUCCUACGGGAGGCAGCAGUGGGGAAUCUUGCGCAGUGGGCGAAAGCCUGACGCAGCCAUGCCGCGUGGAUGAUGAAGGUCUUAGGAUUGUAAAAUCCUUUCACCGGUGAAGAUAAUGACUGUAGCCGGAGAAGAAGCCCCGGCUAACUUCGUGCCAGCAGCAGCCGCGGUAA